GCGGAUGUGGCGGAACUGGUAGACGCACUGGAUUUAGGUUCCAGCGCCGCAAGGCGUGGAGGUUCGAGUCCUCUCAUCCGCA
rfam:Brevundimonas sp. Root1423 contig_5, whole genome shotgun sequence.